rnacentral:rRNA from 1 species
AACGCGAAGAACCUUACCUACUCUUGACAUCCUAGGAAUCUUGCUGAAAGGCGAGAGUGCCUUCGGGAACCUAGAGACAGGUGCUGCAUGGCUGUCGUCAGCUCGUGUCGUGAGAUGUUGGGUUAAGUCCCGUAACGAGCGCAACCCUUGUCCUUAGUUACCAGCACGUAAUGGUGGGAACUCUAAGGAGACCGCCGGUGAUAAACCGGAGGAAGGUGGGGACGAUGUCAAGUCAUCAUGGCCUUUAUGAGUAGGGCUACACACGUGCUACAAUGGUCGGUACAGAGGGUCGCCAAGUCGCAAGACGGAGCUAAUCUCAAAAAGCCGAUCGUAGUCCAGAUCGGAGUCUGCAACUCGACUCCGUGAAGUUGGAAUCGCUAGUAAUCGCGAAUCAGCAUGUCGCGGUGAAUACGUUCCCGGGCCUUGUACACACCGCUCGUC